UAGCUUUUCCCUCGGUAUUUUGCCGUAUAGCUUUUUCCCUCGGUGUUUUGCCGUAUAGCUUUUUCCCUCGGUAUUUUGCCGUAUAGCUUUUUCCCUCGGUAUUUUGCCGUAUAGUUUUUUCCCUCGAUGUUUUGCCGUAUAUAUAUUUUUCCCUCUAUAGGUAUUAUGUAUUCCAGGUCGAAAAUCACGCAAAUAUUUGUGUUUUUAACAAUCUUAUAAAAAUUUGCACAAAAGCUGCUUUUUUAUCGGCCUCAAAAUCGUCCCGAAGGUUUGCUGUUUUUAUAUCACCUAAACUCUUCGAUAUUUCAGGUAUUUUUCGUCCGUACGUAUUUAGAAGCUUAUAAUGAAACGAAUGAAAUCACGUUAGACGAGAUUGAAAAAGUUAUUGACGAAGCUGACAGGUGCUGUGCAAACAUUCUCUUGGGCGGGAACAAUAUUACUGCAUGACAAACCAGAUAAUAUAUAAGAUAGUCGCAUGACAUACAUGAUAAAUCCAAGAUGGCGUGAGAACGAGGCAAAAAACAUCAAAAUUUUUUGCAAUUUACUUUCACCACAAACGUCAAAGAAAUGAGAGAGAAGACGUCACAGUAGAACUAUAUCAAUAAAUCUGCCUUCAUUUGGAAAAAUAAUAGAAAUUUGUUUUUUCACCAACGAUUUGGGCGCUGUGCUGUUACGCCGUUUGCUUUUUCUUGAUACAUCGCAGCGGUCAGAGUUUUUUGCGAGACAAGUUGCAUCAAGUCUUACACAAAGUAUACGGCAAUUUGCUUUUUGUCGGUCAAUUUCACUAUUAAUAAUGUUUAUCACAAAAAAGUCUUCUUUUAUAAAUACUCAAGACAGAGGUAAGGAAAUGUACUUUCUCAUAACCUAAAUAUUAAAUAGUUAAUACCAUUGCUGGAUCAUUCCAGUUACUACUGCUUGAUGUAACUAAACCUGCAAGAUAUUACACAAAUUGUCAGAUUUCUUAACGAGCUUCGUUGACUUAAAUAAAUUACUAUGAAUGAAA